rnacentral:rRNA from 1 species
GGAGGGUGCAAGCGUUAAUCGGAAUUACUGGGCGUAAAGGGCGCGUAGGUUGUUUAGCAAGUUGGCUGUGAAAGCCCCGGGCUUAACCUGGGAUGGUCAGUCAAAACUGCUAAACUAGAGUGUAGUAGAGGGUAGUGGAAUUUCAGGUGUAGCGGUGAAAUGCGUAGAGAUCUGAAGGAACACCAGUGGCGAAGGCGGCUACCUGGACUAACACUGACACUGAGGCGCGAAAGCAUGGGUAGCGAACAGGGAUUAGAUACCCUGGUAGUCCAUGCCGUAAACGAUGUCAACUAGUUGUUGGGUAAUUAAUUACUUAGUGACGCAGCUAACGCGAUAAGUUGACCGCCUGGGGAGUACGGUCGCAAGAUUAA